rnacentral:rRNA from 1 species
UGGGGAAUUUUGGACAAUGGGCGCAAGCCUGAUCCAGCAAUGCCGCGUGCAGGAUGAAGGCCUUCGGGUUGUAAACUGCUUUUGUACGGAGCGAAAAGGUCUGCCCUAAUACGGUGGGCUCAUGACGGUACCGUAAGAAUAAGCACCGGCUAACUACGUGCCAGCAGCCGCGGUAAUACGUAGGGUGCGAGCGUUAAUCGGAAUUACUGGGCGCAAAGCGUGCGCAGGCGGUUAUAUAAGACAGAGGUGAAAUCCCCGGGCUCAACCUGGGAACUGCCUUUGUGACUGCAUAGCUAGAGUACGGUAGAGGGGGAUGGAAUUCCGCGUGUAGCAGUGAAAUGCGUAGAUAUGCGGAGGAACACCGAUGGCGAAGGCAAUCCCCUGGACCUGUACUGACGCUCAUGCACGGAAGCAUGGGGAGCAAACA